CAGCAGCCGCGGUAAUACGGAGGGUGCAAGCGUUAAUCGGAAUUACUGGGCGUAAAGCGCACGCAGGCGGUCUGUCAAGUCAGAUGUGAAAUCCCCGGGCUUAACCUGGGAAUGGCAGUGGAUACUGGCUCGCUAGAGUGUGUCAGAGGAUGGUGGAAUUCCCGGUGUAGCGGUGAAAUGCGUAGAGAUCGGGAGGAACAUCAGUGGCGAAGGCGGCCAUCUGGGACAACACUGACGCUGAGGCACGAAAGCGUGGGGAGCAAACAGGAUUAGAUACCCGAGUAGUCCCUGUCUCUUAUAC
rnacentral:rRNA from 1 species